CCGAGUUUACAACUCCCAAACCCAUGUGAACAUACCUUUUGUUGCUUCGGCGGUCUCGCCCCGGCGCCUUCGGGCCCGGAUCCAGGCGGCCGCCGGAGGUCUCAAACUCUUUGUUUUUUAGUGGCAUUAUCUGAGUGGAUUUUAUAAAUAAAUCA
rnacentral:misc_RNA from 1 species